rnacentral:lncRNA from 1 species
AGGGGAUGGAUGGCGGACGCUGGCGUGGACUGGGGUGAGGUCAUUACCGUGCACUGCUAAGGCCAGUCCACGAGGCCUGCGACCAGCUCGGACCCUGGGCAUGACAGCUACCUGCAAAUCCUGAGGACCCUUCCUAUGGACGAGUGCAGCCAGGUUAUGACAGGCCCAGAGGACAGAGCUGGGAGUAACUGGAGGUGAAAGGACAGAUUCCAGCCCAAGCCAGAGCUGUCCAGCGGUUUGAGGUGCCUGUCCAGGUGGUGUCAAUAGGGCUCGGAGCACCUGCUUUAAGGGGGGGGCUGGAUGAGAGCAGAACGUCCCAAACCUGGCGCACCAUCAUCACUGGGGGUAUUGGAACUAAAUCCAGAUUCCCUGGCUCCACCCCAGGCCUACUCAAUCUGUCUCCCCAGGGUUUGGGCGGAAUCUGUUUUUCAGCAAGCUCCCCAAGUGACACAAUUGGGUGGUCCCGUCGUGGGUUCUCACACCACAUGAAACAAGGUCCGCUUCACAGGACUGACUGAGACCAGCAUGAGACUUGCAAACAGCAACGCAGGGGGAUGCACGGAGCCGGUCCAAGAAGGGCUGCAGCUUGGACGAAGGGGAAGGCGGGCUGUGACAAGUGGAUGGAAGCGUAUGCAGCCCCAAGAGACCCUGCAGGGAAGCCCUCCUGUGGACUCUGUAGCAGCUACAGGACAGUCAGUCCUUAGCCUCUCACCCAACUGGGUUGUACUGGACUCAGCCUGCAGAUGAAUCCCCUGGCGGUGACGUUUGUAUGGCACGAGAGAAGGGGCCUGAUGGCCCAGUCAGUGCGGACAUACAAGCCCAGCCUCGGCGCUGAAGCGGCAGGACGACCCUCCCAGAGCACAGGCUGACCCUGCCACUCCCCACGAAGCUGGGGAGGCCCUGCUUGCUGCUCUGUGGCCUGGCUGCUCAAAGGCUGAAGUCCCACAUUGCCUCGCGGUAUUCGGGAGAGCAAGGAGUGGGGAGACGGGGACAAGCACAUUUGCACAUCUUUCAGGCCAAAGGCACUGAGUUUUCGGGGCCACUGCCACUGCACAUCAGCAAGGAUGACUCGAGGAGGUGCCCUAACCCGUGAAGCUUGUGUCCAGAGACAGCCUGGCUGCCCGCCCUCUCACUGAGUGGGGGUGCAGGGCAAGGGAGCCCAAAACACUUGGUGGCCACGGGGCCCUGGGAGUGUGGCCUGGAGCAGUAAGGCAGCCCAACCACAGGGCUCUGUGAACUGGGUCCCAGUGGAAAGAGAAACUGGGGAGGGGCCCGGCACACGUCAACGGGCGUGGGGGUAGGGUGGUGCCACACUGUCCACGGAGGGCAGGUGGGACAGGGAGUGGGCACAUGCUGUUGACACUUGGGCCAUCCCCACCCAGCUGAGCUCUUUCCAGAGCUGGAAGUCCAGCAGCUUCAAGGCAGACAUGGCAGCUCUGAAG